rnacentral:rRNA from 1 species
UACGGGGGGAGCAAGCGUUGUUCGGAUUUACUGGGCGUAAAGGGCGCGUAGGCGGCCAGCACAAUUCAGUUGUGAAAUCUCCGGGCUUAACUCGGAAAGGUCAACUGAUACUGUGCGGCUAGAGUGCAGAAGGGGCAACUGGAAUUCUCGGUGUAGCGGUGAAAUGCGUAGAUAUCGAGAGGAACACCUGCGGCGAAGGCGGGUUGCUGGGCUGACACUGACGCUGAUGCGCGAAAGCCAGGGGAGCGAACGGG